rnacentral:rRNA from 1 species
UCGAGAAUCAUUCACAAUGGGGGAAACCCUGAUGGUGCGACGCCGCGUGGAGGAUAAGGUCUUCGGAUUGUAAACUCCUGUCAUGCGAGAGCAAGAUUUGAGCGGGUAACUCCGCUGAAUUUGAUAGUAUCGCAAGAGGAAGAGACGGCUAACUCUGUGCCAGCAGCCGCGGUAAUACAGAGGUCUCAAGCGUUGUUCGGAAUCACUGGGCGUAAAGGGUGCGUAGGUGGCGUGGAAAGUCAGAUGUGAAAUCCGGGGGCUCAACCUCCGAAUAGCAUCCGAUACUCCCAUGCUAGAGAACUGGAGGGGGAUCUGGAAUUCUCGGUGUAGCAGUGAAAUGCGUAGAUAUCGAGAGGAACACUAGUGGCGAAGGCGAGAUCCUGGACAGUAUCUGACACUGAUGCACGAAGGUCAGGGGAGCAAACGGG